CAGGCUCGGGUUUGUCCUCAAGGCCCAAACCAGGACCAAAAUGGGACACAACACCUAUAGAAAUAGAGAAUUAUUGAUUUAACAUCCAAUUUCCUUACAUACAAAAGAAAUAGCCUAUGUGCUACCAUUUGAAUAUGCUUUACCCCUAAUGGUUCACAUGCUGGAAGAUGAUACUAAGUGCAGUGAGACCUUUAAGAGGUGUGACUUUGGAAAAGUUAAUUAGGUAUAAUACAAAAGAGCUAUCUUAAUAGCCAUGUUAUUUUUGACAUAUUUAUCAAAUUGUUAAAUAUAAGAAGGGGUAGUUCAAAUUGUUUUAGCUAAUAUUUACUGCUUUUUUCCUCAGUACUCACGAUGGUGUGAAAUAUACACAGAUGCCAUUUGUCUGCCCAACUAUUCUUUGUCUGGUAAUCGAAUUUCAUAAUUUCCUAUCAUACUUCUGUUAACUGACCACAAUCAACCUCACUCUUGCAUAAUUAUUCCUGCUCUAGAGAUAUGCUUAUGACCCAAACAGUUGAUGUUAUCAGUUACCCUUAGCCAUAGUAGUACGUUGAUAGCUAACAUGAAAUUUUCUUUUCUUUUUUUUUUUUUUUUUUUGGUGUUUUUGGGACAGGGUUUCUCUGUAUAGUCCUGGCUGUCCUGGAACUCACUUUGUAGACCAGGCUGGCCUCGAACUCAGAAAUCCGCCUGCCUCUGCCUCCCGAGUGCUGGGAUUAAAGGCGUGCGCCACCACGCCCGGUACAUGAAAUUUUCUAAUGAGGGUUUAUGUUGGGAACUCUGGAAAUGAGAAUGGAUUAGAAGCUGAACAUCCAACAUCUUGAAGUGGCCAGCUGCCAGGCUGCCAUCCUGAGACAAUCAUCUUGUAGAACUGAAAUGAAUGAACUCACGACCUUGCCCAUACUUAGAUGAGUCACAAUGCAGUGACAUCCAAGUUCAGCAAAAACUGAGACAAGCCAUUCACGACAAGCCUACCUAAGCGUUAGGGUAUAGUCCAUGCCAGGUUGGGUAUGAAUUAUGGGAUUCACAUUCACAUGAACUCUGUAAUUUAAUUUUGCUUCACAAACAUGAAGACACUUUUGAAUGAGCAUAAAUGUGCUGUGGUCGACUGCUUUGUAAGUGAGUCUGUGCGACUCUAUCAUAAGAUAUUUAAGAUUAGCUUUUUAAUGCAUUUAUGUGAAUAAAUGAUUGAAUUUUUCCCUUUUGUUUGAUUUAGAACAAAUGUAGUAAGAAAGAUGUAUAAAUUUACCCUCACUAGAAGGGGAAAAGCUGCCUUUCACACGUAAGAACCCAAGUCAUACAUGCUGAAAUUCAUAUAUCAAGUAGCAUGGGCCCCAUCAAGUUUGCACACGCUCAGGGACUGCCCAAAUGCCAUCCUCCCAUGUGCUGCUAUGCACAUUUCCAGUUCCAUCUCUAGUUCUUCAGGAACACAGUCCAUGGAAUGGCUGGCCACAUCAGUGAGCAGAGAGCAAUGUCUGAGAGAAUCAGCUAUCUCCAGGUAAGUAAGAGCUGAAAGCUCAGUAGUGAUCUACAGGAUGGCUGGCCAGCAUAACAGGACAGGUCAGAAGGGGAAGAAGAUGCUUGGUGCUGGCCGAAAUUUUCCCUUUCUGAAGC
rnacentral:lncRNA from 1 species